rnacentral:rRNA from 1 species
GGCGGCGUGCCUAAUACAUGCAAGUCGAGCGCAGGAAACAAGUAGAUCCCUUCGGGGUGACGCUUGUGGAAUGAGCGGCGGACGGGUGAGUAACACGUGGGCAACCUACCUUGUAGACUGGGAUAACUCCGGGAAACCGGAGCUAAUACGGGAUGAUCAUUUGAAUCGCAUGAUUGAAAUGUAAAAGUGGGGAGUAAUCCUCACACUAUGAGAUGGGCCCGCGGCGCAUUAGCUAGUUGGUAAGGUAAUGGCUUACCAAGGCAACGAUGCGUAGCCGACCUGAGAGGGUGAUCGGCCACACUGGAACUGAGACACGGUCCAGACUCCUACGGGAGGCAGCAGUAGGGAAUCAUCCGCAAUGAGCGAAAGCCUGACGGUGCAACGCCGCGUGAACGAUGAAGGUUUUCGGAUCGUAAAGUUCUGUUAUGAGGGAAGAACAAGUGCCGUUCGAAUAGGGCGGCACCUUGACGGUACCUCACGAGAAAGCCCCGGCUAACUACGUG